rnacentral:rRNA from 1 species
UGAGUAACCUGCCCUUAACUCUGGGAUAAGCCUGGGAAACUGGGUCUAAUACCGGAUAUGACUCCUCAUCGCAUGGGUGGGGGGUGGAAAGCUUUUUGUGGUUUUGGAUGGACUCGCGGCCUAUCAGCUUGUUGGUGAGGUAAUGGCUCACCAAGGCGACGACGGGUAGCCGGCCUGGAGGGGGUGACCGGCCACACUGGGACUGAGACACGGCCCAGACCUCCUACGGGAGGCAG